CGUCUUGUGACUUUUCUGGUGCAGAACAUGGAGGAGCGGCUGAGCAAUGGAGUUGGGACUCGGGGGAGCAAUAGGUGCCUGUGUCCCAAGCUUCCUGUGUGGCCCUUGCAAGCUCCUGCUCCCCUCGCCUGCAAGUGGAGCGAUGCUCAAGUUUGAGGAAUCUUUUCCUCGGCAGGCGGUAAAAGACGCCGCAGCUGCGAGUUUUGUGUCCUUCUUUGUUAUUGGAAAGCAGCCUCCUUGAG